AGUGAACGCUGGCGGCAGGCCUAACACAUGCAAGUCGAGCGGCAGCGGGUCCUUCGGGAUGCCGGCGAGCGGCGGACGGGUGAGGAAUGCAUCGGAAUCUGCCCUGUCGUGGGGGAUAACCUCGGGAAACUUCGGCUAAUACCGCAUACGACCCACGGGUGAAAGCGGGGGAUCGCAAGACCUCGCGCGAUAGGAUGAGCCGAUGUCCGAUUAGCUAGUUGGCGGGGUAAAGGCCCACCAAGGCGAGGAUCGGUAGCUGGUCUGAGAGGAUGAUCAGCCACACUGGGACUGAGACACGGCCCAGACUCCUACGGGAGGCAGCAGUGGGGAAUAGUGGACAAUGGGCGCAAGCCUGAUCCAGCCAUGCCGCGUGGGUGAAGAAGGCCUUCGGGUUGUAAAGCCCUUUUGUCCGGGAAGAAAUCGUCUGGGCUAAUACCCCGGGCGGAUGACGGUACCGGAAGAAUAAGCACCGGCUAACUUCGUG
rnacentral:rRNA from 1 species